rnacentral:lncRNA from 1 species
GAAAAUUUACAGAAAGAUGUAUUGCCAUGCAUAUAUGUGCAUUCACUGUUAAACAAUUUUGAAAUGGCUGCCGCUUAGUGGCAAUUGGGGGAAGGGUGACAUCCGCUAUUGCUUGCAAUGGCAAUUCUAGUUUAUUUUUCUUUUUCUUCUUCCACACAUUUUGUCCGUCGUGUUUCUCGGAAUCCAAUUGACCAAUGUUGAUGGAACUUUACUAUAAUGAGGACCCCCAUGUAAAGUUG